rnacentral:rRNA from 1 species
UACGUAGGUGGCAAGCGUUGUUCGGAAUUAUUGGGCGUAAAGGGCGCGUAGGCGGUUUGUUAAGUCAGCUGUGAAAGCCCGGGGCUCAACCCCGGAGAGUCGACUGAUACUGGCAGACUAGAGUACGGAAGAGGUAGCUGGAAUUCCCGGUGUAGCGGUGAAAUGCGUAGAUAUCGGGGAGGAACACCUGAGGCGAAAGGCGGGUAGCUGGGCCGACACUGACGCUGAUGCGCGAAAGCCAGGGGAGCAAACGGG